UACGAAGGGGGCUAGCGUUGUUCGGAAUUACUGGGCGUAAAGGGCGUGUAGGCGGCCCGUUAAGACAGGUGUGAAAUUCCUGGGCUCAACCCAGGACGUGCGCCUGUGACUGGCAGGCUUGAGUCCGGGAGAGGAUGGUGGAACUCCCAGUGUAGAGGUGAAAUUCGUAGAUAUUGGGAAGAACACCCGUGGCGAAGGCGGCCAUCUGGACCGGUACUGACGCUAAGGCGCGACAGCGUGGGGAGCAAACAGG
rnacentral:rRNA from 1 species